GCCGAAGUGGUGGAAUUGGUAGACACGCUAUCUUGAGGGGGUAGUGCCCGUAGGGCGUGGGAGUUCGAGUCUCCCCUUCGGCA
rnacentral:tRNA from 1 species